rnacentral:tRNA from 1 species
GGGGGCAUGGCUCAGUUGGUAGAGUGUUUGUCUAGCAUGCACAAAGCCCUGGGUUCAAUCCCCAGCAUCUCCC